AAAAUUCUUAGAGUAGUAAAGAAAUAUGUUAUCUGAUAUAGUUACUUUUGUUUUGUGUCAUUCUUAAAUUUCAUAGAUCGCCCGGGUCCGUCUAGUGCUCCUUCCGACCAAAAUCAAAGUUAGGGAUUCGUUCUCCACUACUGUACUAGGAAGCAGCUGAUUCGGCUGAAGCUCUGCAAUCUUCUCUGCAGAGUUACAAAUGUAAACUUUAUAUUCAUGUUAUUUAAUUUUGGAUGUAUAAAUUAUUCUGUUAUCAGAUUA